rnacentral:lncRNA from 1 species
GAGAGAGGAGAGGUGUCAGGCGGGGAGGAGAGGAGGGGCAGUGGUGAGGUGAGUGAGGAGGAAGCCGUAGAGGGGCAUCGCCUAGGAGAGGAGAGGAGAGGAGGGGUAGCGGAUGACAGCCAGGAUGACGGCCAUGUCAAACAUGAGGAUGGCAAGACCCGCAAAGUUGACAACAAACGCUUUGCUCAUAUAGCCAUUGAUAUGGAAGAUGAACCUUGUUAG